rnacentral:rRNA from 1 species
GACGAACGCUGGCGGCGCGCCUAACACAUGCAAGUCGAACGGAGCUGAGAGAAGCUUGCUUUUCUUAGCUUAGUGGCGAACGGGUGAGUAACGCGUGAGUAACCUGCCCUGGAGUGGGGGACAACAGUUGGAAACGACUGCUAAUACCGCAUAAGCCCACGAUCCGGCAUCGGAUUGAGGGAAAAGGAUUUAUUCGCUUCAGGAUGGACUCGCGUCCAAUUAGCUAGUUGGUGAGGUAACGGCCCACCAAGGCGACGAUUGGUAGCCGGACUGAGAGGUUGCCCGGCCACAUUGGGACUGAGACACGGCCCAGACUCCUACGGGAGGCAGCAGUGGGGGAUAUUGCACAAUGGGGGAAACCCUGAUGCAGCGACGCCGCGUGGAGGAAGAAGGUUUUCGGAUUGUAAACUCCUGUCGUUAGGGACGAUAAUGACGGUACCUAACAAGAAAGCACCGGCUAACUACGUG